UUACAGGUGAUAUUAUUUUGCCGUCUUCAGCCUUAGCUACAUGUGAGUGCGCGCUGCAUUGACGCCGUCCGAUGCAGUUGUUUAAUCGUGUGUACGCUGUGCCGAGAGUAAUUGUGGUGCAUUUUGUAUUCAUUGAGAAUCACAAAACCCCUGGGACCGCGUAAUGUAGCCCGCAGUAUCCUUCGUGUGGUGCGCCGAUGUCGAAGGUAUGAGCCUUCGCCACUUUCUUUGUUCCGGGCUCACGAAAAGGAUCUCCUCCUCUGGCACUCUCGCAUCGUAUCACACUGUACGGAAGAAUUUGGUGAAAAUUGUGCUCUUACGUCCUGUAGUUGAUCCGCAAUUCAACAGUGUGUGCGCCGGAAGGACCGUUGGUGCAGUCGAUGCCGCGGCACCUGUGACGCUAAAAGGAGCGUUUUCCGAGUACGCCUAGAAAGGGAUGGCAAGAUUUUGUGAACCAGAGGCACCUCCAGAUAUGCACCUGCGGCACUUCUGCAGCCUCAACAGCACGGCAAAGUACCUGAUGUGCAUGCUGUGACAAGCUGCUAUAGGUAUGGCUGGACCUGGAGAAGAAGUGUAAGCAGACCAUGCUAUGUUGCUGAUCUGCGCUGAUCUCCACAUCCAAGUUGGUCCCGCGACAGUUGGGCGCCAUUGUGCCUUGCUUCAUUGACAAGGUGAUAUAAUAUGGUGCCCUGCUCGCUCUCACCCAAGCAACCCACUCCAGCGGUCUUCUCUCGGCAGACUGGAUGCAUCGAAAUACCGUUAGAAGGUCCAAUAACAGUGCUUGAGACAUUUAUGACAUGCUUUUAUUUAGGCCGGAGGACUUCAGGCUUAAUGAAAGCUCAAGUGGGUGUACAGAAAUACCUACGUAAAGUAUACUUGUCUUUUUCAAUUACAAGUACAUGCCAAUACUUUGCCUGACAUUUUUCACCCCAAAAUUACACUUUACUGUGGAUUUGUGUACAAACCAUUACAGCAAGAAGCACUGCAUUAAGACGAGUACAAGUAAUCGAACAUAUACUAAACUAGCAAGAAUUACAUUUGCAUACUUGUAGUAUAAAUAUGAAAAGGAGGUACAAUCUUCUUCAGGGUGCAUUUUCUUGUAGGUCAUACAUAGACAACGUACUCGUGGGUCAUACAAAACUUGUUCAUAAUGUAUCACAUCAGUGUUGGUAGUGCUAAUCAAUUUAUGCCGAAAAUUGUGUUCAUCUUCGUAUCAAGCAAUGUACCAGGCAAACCUACAUAUGAAAGUGGCUUCUUGUUGCGAACCUAAUGCAGAUCUACUUCUCUUCAAUGCUGAUCGCAAAUACACAAGUGCACAAAAUAUGUGUAAAGAGUAAAUUAUAUUAAGCAACAUCAAUCCAUUCUGAAAGGACCUGGUAUGAAUGUAGCAAAAAAUAGGUCUGAACAGGGGCAAACAGGUCUUGGUUAGAUAGGACGGGAUUAAACGGGUCAGGAUUAAACAGGAUUUAAACGGGUCAGGAUUAAACAGGAUUUAAACGGGUCAGGUUUAAACAGGAUUUAAACGGGUCAGGUUUAAACAGGAACAAACGGGAUUUAAACAGGUCAGGACUGAACAGGAUCAAACGGGGUCCCGUUCCAUAACCCUAUUUGAUGAAACCCGUUUGAAAACAAAUAGGAUUUUUUAGUAGGGUAUAGUGCAUUUUGAAAUUGUUAUUUG